UACCAGCACCCCGAGUGGUCGGGACGUUUUAUUGGGCCUAAAGCAUCCGUAGCCGGUUCUACAAGUCUUCCGUUAAAUCCACCUGCUUAACAGAUGGGCUGCGGAAGAUACUAUAGAGCUAGGAGGCGGGAGAGGCAAGCGGUACUCGAUGGGUAGGGGUAAAAUCCGUUGAUCCAUUGAAGACCACCAGUGGCGAAGGCGGCUUGCCAGAACGCGCUCGACGGUGAGGGAUGAAAGCUGGGGGAGGCAAACCGG
rnacentral:rRNA from 1 species